rnacentral:rRNA from 1 species
GUAACGCGUAGGUAAGCUGCCCACGCACAGGGAUAGCCGGAGAAACCUGGAUUAAUACCUGAUAAUGCAGAGGAGUCACAUGGCUCUUCUGCCAAAGAUUUAUCGGCAUGGGAUGCACCUGCGUCUGAUUAGCCAGUUGGUGAGGUAACGGCCACCAAGCAACGAUCAGUAGCCGACCUGAGAGGGUAAUCGGCCACAUUGGAACUGAGACACGGUCCAAACUCCUACGGGAGGCAGCAGUGGGGAAUAUUGCACAAUGGGCGCAAGCCUGAUGCAGCAAAACCGCCGCGUGAGCGAUGAAGGUCUUCGGAUUGUAAAGCUCUGUCCUUGAGGACGAACAAUGACGGUACUCUUGGAGGAAGCCCCGGCUAACUACGUGCCAGCAGCUGC